rnacentral:rRNA from 1 species
ACGGAAGGCAGCAGUAGGGAAUCUUCGGCAAUGGGGGCAACCCUGACCGAGCAACGCCGCGUGAGUGAAUAAGGUUUUCGGAUCGUAAAGCUCUGUUGUAAGAGAAGAACGUGUGUGAGAGUGGAAAGUUCCCACAGUGACGGUAACUUACCAGAAAGGGACGGCUAACUACUUGCCAGCAGCCGCGGUAAUACGUAGGUCCCGAGCGUUGUCCGGAUGUAUUGGGCGUAAAGCGAGCGCAGGCGGUUUAAUAAGUCUGAAGUUAAAGGCAGUGGCUUAACCAUUGUUCGCUUUGGAAACUGUUAGACUUGAGUGCAGAAGGGGAGAGUGGAAUUCCAUGUGUAGCGGUGAAAUGCGUAGAUAUAUGGAGGAACACCGGUGGCGAAAGCGGCUCUCUGGUCUGUAACUGACGCUGAGGCUCGAAAGCGUGGGGAGCAAACAGGAUUAGAUACCCUGGUA